GACGAACGCUGGCGGCGCGCUUAACACAUGCAAGUCGAGCGAAGCGGCGGACGGGUGAGUAACACGUGAGUAACCUGCCUUAGACAUUGGGAUAGCCUCGGGAAACCGGGAUUAAUACCAAAUGGUCUAAGAUGGACUCGCGUCCCAUUAGCUAGUUGGUGGGUAACGGCCCACCAAGGCGACGACGGGUAGCCGGCGUUAGAGGAAGGACGGACACAUUUGAACAGACAAACGGUCCAAACUAUACGAGAGGCAGCAGAGGGGAAUAUUGCACAAUGGAGGGAACUCUGAUGCAGCUACGCCGCGUGAACGAAGAAGGCUUUCGAGUCGUAAAGUUCUUUUAUAUGGGAAGCGGUACCAUAAGAAAAGGCCCCGGCUAACUACGUGCCAGCCGCCGCGGUAAUUC
rnacentral:rRNA from 1 species